UGGGGGGAGGGGACCGGGCGGCCCGGGCGCGAGCGCGUCCCUGGGGCCCAGCGACCUCCGGGAUGCGCCGGGAGGGGUCGAGGGCCUCGGCUGCGGGCGAUGGUGGGGGCCCGGCCGAGCUCUCCGAGCCAGCCUCGGGGGCGCGGAACGCAACGCACCCGCCUUGCCCGGGCGCCCGGGUGGGGGCGUCCACCGCCCUGGUCCUCCGGCUGGUCGGCCUGGAGCUAGGUCGUGGUCCCGAGAGUCCCUACCGUCUCCUUUCUCCUGUCCGCAGCCCCUCCGCUGCGACCCCGGGCUAAAUAGGCGGCCGAGCUGAGGCUCCAGGAGAAAGGUGAAGCUCUAGUCCGUAAAGAUCCUCCUUGGGGUCUGAUUGAGUGGCGGGUGCAACCCAGAUGCUGCGAGCCGCUGAGUAGGUGGAGACGGUUUGAAGACUUCGGAGAAGAGUGCCCGUCCUUGCCUAAGAGGGAAAUUACAAAGCUCAACUAUAGCCAGAUUGACAGCAUAACUGUCUAGGAAUCAAGCAUCAGCAUUCAGUUAUUUCCUAAGAUUAAACCUCGAAAGCUCCCUCGGAGGCGGCACACCAAGCAUGGAAAAGGGGUCAUCUUUGUCGGGGACGACUCCCUCUUCCAAGAAGAAGAAGGGACCCCCCCACCUGCCCAUUCCCAUCCAGAUAAAUCAGUCUUUUUUUUAAAGCAAGGGAUGGAGCUGCACAAGGUUGGCCAGGUCCCCAUGUCCCGCUCGCACCAGCACAGAGCAGCCCCAUGCAGGACAGCCGCCUACACAUGGGCAGUGUCCUGAACCAGGGCACGUGGCGGAAGCAGCGGAUGGGAGCGAAGUCCUGCUGGAGCUCCACUCACCAAGCACUGUGCAUCGGCAUGUGGCCACGUCUGCUGCAGACCGCGUGGCUCCUUCUUCUGCUCUGCACCAAGGCCCCCUGGAUGGGCUGGGAGCAGCUAGGACUAUCCCGCCCCCAUGCACCAGUCCUAUCCAGGAUUCUAUUCCUUACUUCAGAGAGAAGAACGAUUCUCAAGAACAGUUUAGGUUUAAUGUAACAGAUGAUGAAGGGGAAGGGCAAAAAAGAUGAAGUAUUUGACACCAUUGAAAUUGAAUGGUAAAGCUCCAAAUAUUACCAUGUAUAUGAAUUAUAUAUGCAUAUAUUUAUAUGGGUAUGUACUUAUAGUUAUGUUGAUAUACAUCUCUAUGUAUCAGAAGUUAGCCUGACUUCA